rnacentral:lncRNA from 1 species
UUCAUGGCCAAAAUAUAUAAUGGAUUAAGCAUAGUGGUACAUUGUUCAUACUGUUUCAUCAUUAUACUGCAUGAACAGAAAUUGACUUGCUGAUGUGAUCUGAUAAAUUUCCUUGUGAGUAUUGGAAAGCUAUAGUUGAGGCAUCACUGUUUUGUUGUUGAAUAGGAAGUCUGAUGUAUUUCCUGGAAUAUGUCAGAAAAUUGGAAUGCUUAAAACAUAUCAUUUGCAAAUUGAAGAGAGGAAAUAUAUAUAAUAGAGCACAAGAGAUGAAAUUAGACGAAUGUGGCUUAUUGUCUACCAUUUGGCUCUUGUAUUUGUAUAGUUGACAUGCUAAUUUGAGCCGAGUAUCUUGCAUGAGUCUAGCUAAAUCCCAUUUGGGUGAUAUAUCUGCAGCAUUCUACUAUAAGCAUUUCAGCUAUCUUGAACAAUCUUUCUUGUCGCAGCCUUUGCACCAAUGAAUGCAGCACCGGCCUCUGAAGACUCUAGGGACUUGAAUUGGAAUGCACAAAGACGACCCUUUGAUGCUGAGAGAUACACUAGAGAUUGAAUACGUUAACAUCACAUGAGAGCAAGUAGAUUGAAUGGAGCUUUGGCGUAGCUUUCUACUCUAUUUUAUAUCCAUGUGAACAUCAAUUAUUAUUACUUUGCAAAAGUAUGCAUUCAGUUACUAGAUGAUGUAGCGCUGAU